rnacentral:pre_miRNA from 1 species
AAUAAGUUUAUUUUUUAAUUGUGGAUAUAAUGCUUUGACUCUUCGUUUUAUUUGCAAUUUUUCUGCGAUUAAUAUUUUUAUUGUUACUAGACGAUAAAAUAUGAAUAGCAUUUUAUACAUGACUAAUUUUUUAAAUUUUGUGUAUAAUUUUUUCGAAUAAGAUGAAUCAAAACUUUAGACACAGAAAUCAAAAAAUGAAGUUAUU